rnacentral:sRNA from 1 species
GCCAGGUGCCGUGGCGCAUGCCUGUCAUCCCAGCGGCUGGGAAGGCUGAGGCAGGAGGAUCACGAGUUCAAAGCCAACCUCAGCAAAAGGAGAGGUACUAAGCAACUCAGUGAGACCCUGCCUCUA